GAUUAACGCUGGCGGCGUGCAUAACACAUGCAGGUCGAACGAUGAAACUUAAAUGAUUUCUUCGGAAUGAACUUAAGUGGAUUAGUGGCGGACGGGUGAGUAACGCGUGAGUAACCUGCCUUACACAAGGGGAUAGCCGUUGGAAACGACGAAUAAUACCCUAUGAUGUUUCUAUCUCGCAUGAGAUAUUAACCAAAGUGUUAGCGGUGUAAGAUGGACUUGCGUCUGAUUAGCUAGUUGGUGAGAAAAAAGCCCACCAAGGCAACGAUCAGUAGCCGGCUUGAGAGAGUGUACGGCCACAUUGGGACUGAGACACGGCCCAGACUCCUACGGGAGGCAGCAGUGGGGAAUUUUGCACAAUGGGGGAAACCCUGAUGCAGCGACGCCGCGUGAUUUAGAAGGCCUUCGGGUUGUAAAAAUCUUUUGUAUAGGAAGAAAAUGACAGUACUAUACGAAUAAGGUCCGGCUAAUUACGUG
rnacentral:rRNA from 1 species